GGCUGGUCCCAGUGCUGUGAUGUUUAUAACUAAUUGGUCACAAGAGUUACAAAUUUCCUUGUUCCUUCUCUGCUCCCAAAGCUUCACUUGACCAGCUCAAA
ensembl:misc_RNA Y_RNA Y RNA